rnacentral:rRNA from 1 species
UACGUAGGGUGCAAGCGUUGUCCGGAAUUAUUGGGCGUAAAGGGCGCGUAGGCGGCCAUAUAAGUCGGGGGUGAAAGCCUGUGGCUCAACCACAGAAUUGCCUUCGAUACUGUAUGGCUCGAGACCGGAAGAGGUAAGUGGAACUGCGAGUGUAGAGGUGAAAUUCGUAGAUAUUCGCAAGAACACCAGUGGCGAAGGCGGCUUACUGGUCCGGUUCUGACGCUGAGGCGCGAAAGCGUGGGGAGCAAACAGG